rnacentral:lncRNA from 1 species
CUGGAGAGGAGCGCGGGUAGGCCGAUCCGCAGGAGCCCGUGCUUCGAGGAGGGCGCGUGUGUGCGCACUGGGUGACGACGCCGGUCGACGUGGUCGCCGGGGGGCGGCGGGCUGGGCGGGAGCCCGUGCUCCAGCAGGAAGGCGUCCAGGUCCACGUACUCCACGUCGCCGAAAGGCAGCGUACGCUCCCACAGCAGCGGCGCCAACAGACUCGGGCCAGGCACGGCGCCCGGGCGUCCCCCGCGGGGACCCGCCGCCUCCCACCGCCCCAGCGGGGGCAUCCGCCGGGCCUGCCGUCUCCAGGCCCGGCCCCGGGACUGUGGCUGCGGGCGGAGCCGCCUUGCGCUCCUUUUCCUUCAGGAGACCUGCGGGCCAGGGAAACAGGGGCGGGGUGGAGAUGGGGUGCAGAAGGGAUCCCCCGUGUCGGAGAGGAGGUGUAGACAAGCACACGGCGGUGAUCCAGAGAGAGAAGACGAGGGAGAACAAGGACCCAGAGAGAAGAGAGGACAGAGAUACAAACGGUGACAGCGAUCCAAAGGAGAGGAUAAAGACAUUCAGCGAUGGGGACAGAGGCCCAGAGGGAGGGACGGAAGUUGAGAAAGAGGGAGCAGGGACAAGAGGUGUCAGCAAAGCAAAGCUUCGAAACUCGAGAGCAUGGGGGAAGAAAAAGUCCCUAUUAAAGGUGAGAACCCACUCCCUGCUGUCCCUCUCCCAAUAUAUCUCUUGUCCUAUAAGAUCCUGGAUGCCUUUAGAACCCAACACCCUUUCCAUGUAAGAUGAGAGAGUGAAGCUGAGC